rnacentral:tRNA from 1 species
AUCCGGUUAGCUCACUGGGUAGAGCACUCGCCUUAUAAGCGGGAGGUGACGGGUUCGAGUCCCGGACUGGCUG